rnacentral:lncRNA from 1 species
CGGUCCCGCGGGGAGGCGGCGGGGCGGGGCGGGCCGUGCCCGGGGCUGCCCCGGUGCCCGGGGCUGGGGGCGGUGGGAGCCCGGUGGGGGCUGAGCACGGAACGGAGCCCCGGCGUGUGCACAAACUUGUAACUGUUGCAUCGUCUGUACCUGGGGUCGUGGGGGACGCCACGGCCUCGUCUGUAGUCGUGGUACUCGGGGAACGCCUCGUGUGUGUCUUUUUUUUUUUUUUUUUAUCUUUUGGCGUGUUGACUCGCAGGGUGGUGGCUAAUUUGGAAAAACGCUAGGUCAUCUCUGCUUCCUGUCAGCCUGUGAGAGGGGUCGCCGCUCACGGAGGGUGACACGGUUUUCGCUCUGAAAUUUCAGAUUUCAGUAGUGCCCUCUCCAGAAUGCAAGCUUCAGACUUCUCUUUUGCUUUACCAUUUUUAUUAUUUCAACUCAUAUCAUGACCUGUAAUGGAAAAUGCUGGAAGAAAAAAUGCUUGGAGAAUGUGCUGGGACUGCAGCCUGUGGCUACCCCAGCAGAGUUUUACAAGUACUCAGAGCCUCCACUGAAUGUGCUGCUUGUCCAUGUCUGUCCUUCCUUGGGAAGGAGACACAGCAGUCCCUCAGAGCACCACUUCCUUGUGAUCUCAAGCUGUGAUGCAUGA